GCAAACUCAGUUGGUUAGAGCAUGGUGUUGAUAAUGCCAAGGUUGCAGGUUUGAUCCCCGUAAUGGAGAGCUGCU